GUCGAGAAUCUUUCACAAUGGGGGCAACCCUGAUGGAGCGACGCCGCGUGGAGGAUAAGGUCUUCGGAUUGUAAACUCCUGUCAUGCGUGAACAAGGUUGCUUGGAUAAUACCUGAGCAAAUUGAUGGUAGCGCAAGAGGAAGAGACGGCUAACUCUGUGCCAGCAGCCGCGGUAAUACAGAGGUCUCAAGCGUUGUUCGGAAUCACUGGGCGUAAAGGGUGCGUAGGUGGCGUGGCAAGUCAGAUGUGAAAGCCCGGGGCUCAACCUCGGAACUGCAUCCGAUACUGCAAUGCUAGAGUACUGGAGGGGUGACUAGAAUUCUCGGUGUAGCAGUGAAAUGCGUAGAUAUCGAGAGGAAUACCAAAGGCGUAGGCAGGUCACUGGACAGGUACUGACACUGAGGCACGAAGGCCAGGGGAGCGAACGGGAUUAGAUACCCGAGUAGUCC
rnacentral:rRNA from 1 species